rnacentral:rRNA from 1 species
UACGUAGGGUGCGAGCGUUGUCCGGAAUUACUGGGCGUAAAGAGCUCGUAGGCGGUUUGUCGCGUCGUCCGUGAAAACUUGGGGCUCAACCCCAAGCUUGCGGGCGAUACGGGCAGACUUGAGUACUGCAGGGGAGACUGGAAUUCCUGGUGUAGCGGUGAAAUGCGCAGAUAUCAGGAGGAACACCAACAGCGAAGGCAGCACUCUGGGCCGGUACUGACGCUGAGGAGCGAAAGCAUGGGGGAGCGAACAGG